rnacentral:sRNA from 1 species
AGAGUACAUGUGAAAAAAUGCCUUUUUAAAGAGUAUGAAAAACUUGAGUUGUAAAAUUUUCUUGUGAAUAAUUUAUUAUUGCUUUUCUUUUUUAGAUAACACUAACAAAGUUGACCUUAGAAUUGGAGUGCCUGGGUUAGAACCCUGCUGGUACCACCUGCUUACUGUAAGACUUUGGUCAAGUUAUUAACUUUUCUGUUCCUCAUUUGUGAAAUAUUGUGAAAAAUAGUCUGUUUGCCUGUCUGAGAACAGUACUGGCACAAAAGUGCUUAAUACACUUCACUCAUUAUUAUUAAUAUUACUAUUGUUGCAUUUUCCCCUUGAAGGCAUGCUUCUGAUGUGAGUUCAGGAGAAGACACUGGCAAGGACAGCAAAGAACAGGAGAACACUCUAGCUUCCCUGAUAGCAUUCAAGGUGCUGUCCAAAGCUCUUGAGUUUCUGCUUUCAAGUGACCCUCAGAAAUUCCCCCAUUCACUGCAGAGGUUCUGUUUCUCCUUGCUUUGUUCUGACUUUACGGCAGAACUAAGCUGAUGAGUUAGUUACUAUGGGUUAUCACUUGGAUUUGAAGAACCAUCAUUUCUAGGCAUUGCUGCUCAGAGUGGGUCUGCCCUCAGGGGAAGCUGUCUAACCAGAGCCUAACCCACUAGGGUUUUAUCAGAACCUAACUGACCUGAGGAAAAGAAAUAUUCAACUCCAGCAAGCUCCAGCCUUCCAAAUGGAGGAGAAGAAAACCCAACUCCAGCCCACUUCAGCUAUCUUGUCCCACAUAAAGGGGAAGUGGAAGAAACCUGAGAAGCAGGCAUGAAGUUCACAGUCCAGAGGUACAGACACAUCAGAGUUCAGUAUCUGAUGAAUUAGAUGCAAAAACCUCAACAAAGUAUUAGCAAAUUGAAUUCAACAAUGUAUGAAAAUUAUUACAUGCCAUGACUAAUUGGAAUUUAUCUCAGGUAUACAAGCCAUGCUGAACAUCUGAAAAUCAAUUCAUGUGAUCCAUCACAUUAGCAGACUCAAGAAAAAAAACCACAUUAUCAUAUCAGUAGAUGUAGAAAAAAAAAUUUAACAAAA